rnacentral:rRNA from 1 species
CCGUAACUAUAACGGUCCUAAGGUAGCGAAAUUCCUUGUCGGGUAAGUUCCGACCUGCACGAAUGGCGUAAUGAUGGCCAGGCUGUCUCCACCCGGGACUCAGUGAAAUUGAACUCGCUGUGAAGAUGCAGUGUACCCGCGGCAAGACGGAAAGACCCCGUGAACCUUUACUAUAGCUUGACACUGAACACUGGUCCUUGAUGUGCAGGAUAGGUGGGAGGCUUUGAAGUGUGGACGCCAGUCUGCAUGGAGCCGUCCUUGAAAUACCACCCUUUAAUGGCUGGUGUUCUAACGUAGACCCGUGAACCGGGUUGCGGACAGUGUCUGGUGGGUAGUUUGACUGGGGCGGUCUCCUCCUAAAGCGUAACGGAGGAGCACGAAGGUUGGCUAAUCCUGGUCGGACAUCAGGAGGUUAGUGCAAUGGCAUAAGCCAGCUUGACUGCGAGCGUGACGGCGCGAGCAGGUGCGAAAGCAGGUCAUAGUGAUCCGGUGGUUCUGAAUGGAAGGGCCAUCGCUCAACGGAUAAAAGGUACUCCGGGGAUAACAGGCUGAUACCGCCCAAGAGUUCAUAUCGACGGCGGUGUUUGGCACCUCGAUGUCGGCUCAUCACAUCCUGGGGCUGAAGUAGGUCCCAAGGGUAUGGCUGUUCGCCAUUUAAAGUGGUACGCGAGCUGGGUUUAGAACGUCGUGAGACAGUUCGGUCC